ensembl:lncRNA
GGCUAUUUACAAUACUUUUCUGAGUUUUUUUGUUUACAAAAUUUUUUUUACAGGAUUACAUCUCUAAAUAACAUGACAGACAUACACAGAAAUCAGACUUUUUAUUACGUACAUAAAUAAAUAUUGACUUUAAAUGAGCACAAUAUAAGGGACAUGAUUUCUACAGACCACUUGGAUGAGAAAGUACCAGUUCUCCUAUCUGCACACUAGAAUAUAUUUAAGUAAAGGGAAAAAUAAUAGCUUUAUAUAGACCUCUGUUAAUCACUCUGUAAAUCAUAGAACUUGUUAAAUAUUCAGUGGCGGUAAGACAGUCAGGGGAGUCCACACCUCACAUGAAACUGUAUGGCCAUGCAACACCAUAGCUAAGACGCAACACCUUCAUGGAUUUGUUUCUAUCUUAAAAUCAUCUCUGAAGUACAUGCAGACACCUAGCCAUUGAGUUCUGGCUAUAGUGUGAAUGUUUACUGGAAAAGAUUUAGAGCUGUUUGUAAUCACCCAAAUGUGUGAAACUCAAGGAACCCAUGGUCACAGUGUAAGAAAGAGCAUUAAAUAAAUAAGUUGACUUCACAAAUGCCAUUUACUGGUACCUAAGGUGGAUUAAUACUUCUGCUCACAUGAAUCAGAGACAAGUUGAAAUUCAGUCUUCUAACAAGGUUCUUCAGUGGACACAGAAGAUUCAAGGAAGGUCUUUGAAGUCAAAUGUGUUAAGGUCUUGGCUGGGAUUUUUCCAGGGCUGGUUCCUUCUCAAAGGGCAAUUUCCCUUUGUUCCGUGAAAACCACUCUACUGAACUGGUUUUUAGCGGGAGGUGCCCAUUUCCUAGGGGCAGGGAGAAAUCCUAGGAACAUUAUUUUUUGGUUGCCACAAUUUGGAAAAGGGGAAGUAGCGGGCCGAAGCAGGAUGCUGAUGAAUAUCCCACAAUGCCCAGGCCCCUGCAAUAAAGACCUAGCCAGCCCUCAGUUUAAUAGUGCUGAAGUUGAUACAUCUUGUUCUCUGGAGCCAGUUAUCUAUUCUCUUGGGUUUCUAGAAUUUGGAAUCUCUAAGCAUUGCUUAAGCAGUCACCCACCAUAAGCUUUCUGUCUGUGAUCUAGCCUAUUUAUCAAUGAAUGAUUGAAUGGCAACAUCUUGAUUUGGGAAAGUCAUUCCACAGAGUUCCAUUUCGCAAAAGAGAGAAGCACAGAAAAAUUCAUUAUUAAAGGGUUUUUGGUGUGAGUGAGAAUAAUGCAUACAAUUGUAGUUUAUAUCAACUUAACCAUCUGUCUUUGAUGACAAUAUUUUUGACCAGCUCAAUGUUUGAGUCAAUGCAAACUCUGCAUAUAUUUUUUGUGAGAAAAAUGUAUCUAUUUUAAUACAAUAUAUUAGAGAAUGAAGAACUGAAACUGCUUUAUGAAAAAUGGUACUCACAUGUUUAAAUUUUGAAAAAUUAUAAUUACAUGUUAAUCAUUUGAUUAUUAUUAGAGAUUAUUAAAAUUCAAGACAGAAACAUGUCUCUUUUAUCACCUCAUUAAUAGUUUUCAUCUAA